AGGGUUCGAGUUCUGGCUCAGGACGAACGGCUGGCGGCGUGCUUCAUACAUGCAAGUCGAACGAGAAGUCACCUUCGGGUGAUGGAAAGUGGCGGACGGGUGAGUAAUGUGUAGAGAAUCUGCCCUAGAGAGAGGGACAACAGUUGGAAACGACUGCUAAUACCUCAUAUGCGCGUAGUUGAGAUGCUAUUCGUGAAAACUCCGGUGCUCUAGGAUGAGUCUGCAUCUGAUUAGCUAGUUGGCGGUGUAAUGGACCACCAAGGCGACGAUCAGUAGCUGGUUUGAGAGGAUGAUCAGCCACAAUGGGACUGAGACACGGCCCAUACUCCUACGGGAGGCAGCAGUAGGGAAUUUUGCGCAAUGGGGGAAACCCUGACGCAAGCAACGCCGCGUGAUUGAAUAAGCCCUUCGGGGUGUAAAGAUCUGUCAGUAGGGACGAAACUUGACGGUACCUACAGAGGAAGCAUCGGCUAACUCCGUGCCAGCCGCUGC
rnacentral:rRNA from 1 species